rnacentral:rRNA from 1 species
AUUGAACGCUGGCGGCAUGCCUUACACAUGCAAGUCGAACGGCAGCACGGACUUCGGUCUGGUGGCGAGUGGCGAACGGGUGAGUAAUGUAUCGGAACGUACCUUUCAGUGGGGGAUAACGUAGCGAAAGUUACGCUAAUACCGCAUAUUCUGUGAGCAGGAAAGCAGGGGAUCGCAAGACCUUGCGCUGAUUGAGCGGCCGAUAUCAGAUUAGCUAGUUGGUGGGGUAAAGGCCUACCAAGGCUACGAUCUGUAGCGGGUCUGAGAGGAUGAUCCGCCACACUGGAACUGAGACACGGUCCAGACUCCUACGGGAGGCAGCAGUGGGGAAUUUUGGACAAUGGGGGCAACCCUGAUUCAGCCAUGCCGCGUGAGUGAAGAAGGCCUCGG